CCUACGGGUGGCAGCAGUGAGGAAUAUUGGUCAAUGGGCGUAAGCCUGAACCAGCCAAGUCGCGUGAGGGAUGAAGGUUCUAUGGAUCGUAAACCUCUUUUAUAAGGGAAUAAAGUGUGGGACGUGUCCUGUUUUGUAUGUACCUUAUGAAUAAGGAUCGGCUAACUCCGUGCCAGCAGCCGCGGUAAUACGGAGGACCCGAGCGUUAUCCGGAUUUAUUGGGUUUAAAGGGUGCGUAGGCGGCCUUUUAAGUCAGCGGUGAAAGUCGGUGGCUCAACCAUAGAAUUGCCGUUGAAACUGGGAGGCUUGAGUAUGUUUGAGGCAGGCGGAAUGCGUGGUGUAGCGGUGAAAUGCUUAGAUAUCACGCAGAACCCCGAUUGCGAAGGCAGCCUGCCAAGCCAUGACUGACGCUGAUGCACGAAAGCGUGGGGAUCAAACAGGAUUAGAGACCCCAGGAGUC
rnacentral:rRNA from 1 species